rnacentral:misc_RNA from 1 species
GAUGAAGAACGCAGCGAAAUGCGAUAAGUAAUGUGAAUUGCAGAAUUCAGUGAAUCAUCGAAUCUUUGAACGCACAUUGCGCCCCCUGGUAUUCCGGGGGGCAUGCCUGUUCGAGCGUCAUUUCACCACUCAAGCCUCGCUUGGUAUUGGGCAUCGCGGUCCGCCGCGCGCCUCAAAUCGACCGGCUGGGUCUUCUGUCCCCUAAGCGUUGUGGAAACUAUUCGCUAAAGGGUGUUCGGGAGGCUACGCCGUAAAACAACCCCAUUUCUAAGGUUGACCUCGGAUCAGGUAGGGAUACCCGCUGAACUUAAGCAUAUCAAUAAGCGGAGGA